CGUGAUAGAAUAUUGUGUUGAUGUGCUUAUGGCGGCUCGUUGUCAACAGUUCAGCUACAGCUAUUUUCUUCAAAAAUUACCAAUGAAUUCGUUGGAGAAAAUGUGAAAGGGGCAUGCAGCCUACUGUCAACUAUUGUGUUGUAAAUCCUGGGACCCUACUGAAUGUGUCAUCCAAAUGUCAGAGACUUGCUAGAUCAUCAACCCCAGCAUGGACCAAUCUCUAAUUCCAUCUUCUAGAGAACCUUGGAUAACUGAUUGGUAGUUUAGUGUGUUUCAAAUUUUGCAUGACAGACUUUAUGAGAAGUCAUGUCCUUUGAAGAAAAAGGACAAUAUUACAGUCAACAAGGUCCUUUGUUUGGUAACCCGUUGGCUACUACCCUUGAAUAUCCCUUUUUACUUCCUUAAACAGGCCCUCUUGAUUUGAGGGUAACUCCUUCGCUACUUAUCAUGGACUUCAUCCAUUGGUGAAAACUGAUAAGAGAAAGCUGUAAUUCAAGACUGAUAGUUGUCAGAUGUCUAAGC